rnacentral:tRNA from 1 species
UUAAUAGAAGCCAAAUUUAGAGGCCUCUCACUGUUAAUGAGUUCAUUGAAUAUUCCUAUUAAG